GUCUAUGGCCAUGCUACUCUGAACAAGCCUGAUCCUGCCUAAUCUGGGAAGCUAAGCAGGGUCAGCGGUAGUUAGUACUUGGAUAGGAGACCACCUAGGAAGACCAGGUGCUGUAGGUG
rnacentral:rRNA from 1 species